ACAGGUGCUGCAUGGCUGUCGUCAGCUCGUGUCGUGAGAUGUUGGGUUAAGUCCCGCAACGAGCGCAACCCUUGCCUUCAGUUGCCAUCAUUCAGUUGGGCACUCUGGAGGGACUGCCGGCGGUAAGCCGGAGGAAGGUGGGGAUGACGUCAAGUCCUCAUGGCCCUUACGGGCUGGGCUACACACGUGCUACAAUGGUGGCGACAGAGGGCGCAAGCGAGAGCGCAAGCUUUAGCAAAUCCUCAAAAGCCAUCUCAGUUCAGAUUGCGCUCUGCAACUCGGGCGCAUGAAGGUGGAAUCGCUAGUAAUCGCAGAACAGCAGGCUGCGGUGAAUACGUUCCCGGGCCUUGUACACACCGCCCGUCACACCAUGGGAGUUGGUUUGACCUGAAGACGGUGCGCUAACCCGCAAGGGAGGCAGCCGGCCACGGUCAGGUCAGCGACUGGGGUGAAGUCGUAACAAGGUAACCGUAA
rnacentral:rRNA from 1 species